GACGGAGGGUGCUAGCGUUGUUCGGAUUUACUGGGCGUAAAGGGCGCGUAGGCGGCCCUGUAAGUCGGAUGUGAAAGCCCGGGGCUCAACCCCGGAACUGCAUUCGAGACUGCAGGGCUGGAGAUCGGAAGAGGAGAGUGGAAUACCCAGUGUAGAGGUGAAAUUCGUAGAUAUUGGGUGGAACACCGGUGGCGAAAGCG
rnacentral:rRNA from 1 species